UACGUAGGGGGCAAGCGUUGUCCGGAAUCAUUGGGCGUAAAGCGCGUGUAGGCGGCUUGGUAAGUCCGCUCUGAAAGCCCGGGGCUCAACCCCGGGAGGCGGGUGGAUACUGUCAAGCUCGAGUCCGGAAGAGGCGAGUGGAAUUCCUGGUGUAGCGGUGAAAUGCGCAGAUAUCAGGAGGAACACCAAUGGCGAAGGCAGCUCGCUGGGACGUGACUGACGCUGAGACGCGAAAGCGUGGGGAGCAAACGGG
rnacentral:rRNA from 1 species